rnacentral:tRNA from 1 species
GGCCCGUUAGCUCAGUUGGUUUAGAGGCGUCGUGCUAAUAACGCGAAGGUCGUGGGUUCGAUCCCCCCACGGGCCA